rnacentral:ncRNA from 1 species
ACUGCCUAUUGCUACUACUAAUUAAAUAGCUUAGUAAGGCGUCCGGACUAGCCUAGAGGGGUAGGCAACUACCUCUUAGAGCCGGAAAGCUCUCUAAACUUAGUUAUUUAGAGGAAGUAAAAGUUGUAACAAGGUCUCUGUUAGUAAACCAGCAGAGG